rnacentral:tRNA from 1 species
UCCCUGGUAGUAUAUCGGUUUAGUACACGCGCCUGUCACUGUGCAUUGACUUCCGCGCGAAAGCUGGGUUCGACUCCCAGCCAGGGAG